rnacentral:lncRNA from 1 species
CGCGCUAUGAUUGGCCUCUUGGUUGGAGGGAAACUCUUCUGGGUCCUUGACGGUAUAACGUUGACCGGUACUCGGUAAUUUCGGGAUUGGUCAAGUAUGGUACAAACAGUGCUCCCCUAAGUUUCCGAGUGAGGGAAGCUCCUCGGUUGGGGACUUGCAAGAUCCAAGCCACUUAGUAAUCAUGAAACUUCUAAGUACCAAAGUGUGACAUCAUUUUCACUUGCCUCUGCCCCAUAGGUAGAAGUGACAUCUUUUCUGGAGGUAUUUGACCUGCAUCUAGGAGUGGUAUCUUUAGCCGAUGUUAACGCACAAUGUUAUGUAUCAUUUUCACUUGAAGCUUACUUGUAGUUUCGAGCUUGGUCAAGUGUUAUACAAACCAUAUAGUAGGAGUUCCUUAAGUCGUCCAGCUAGGAGAUCUGCCGAAAGAGGUGACAGACAAGGUAAGCAAUCAGAGUUCCAAGCAGUCAGCCUCAUAUUGGAAGUUUUGAUCUCGGGUUCCAGGUGAUUGUUCUCAUUAUCCCUAUCUUGCAGGCAACAAAAAGGAUAAAGAGAAGAAAAGGGAGAAGAUAUGAUAUGAGAUAUUUUUGCUUUUGAAGAAAUAAAGGAUGAAUCGGGUUGUACUUGUUGACUUUCCACAUGCUUAUUCUUGAAUUGGAUUGAAGGGUUUCCUGGUUUCCUCCAAAGGAACAAGCUGACUCGAGAAUUUGAGAGUCAAAACAAGUUUUUCAAAUCUGGGGUACGUUCGACCCUGAUGAUAUGGGAUACCUUUACUUUUGAAGAAGUAAUAGGUGAGUUGGCACGUGUUUAGUUGCGCUUGUCUCCACAUGCUUCCUUGUAUCCUUUUCAUUUGCCCUAUCUGUUUCUUAAGCAGAUGUGGUAUCUUCUCUGCAAGCACAAGAUGUUAAAGAUGAGUACUCGAGAGAAAUGCUAGGUAAGUAAUUAGGCAAGGGGUUCCAGGCAGUCAGUUCCUGACUGGAAGCUUGAUUCCAAGUGUUGACUUUUAAAGUUUGGAAAGUAGUGCCUCUUCGAUUUUCGAACAAGAAGAUAUGUUGAAGAUCUGGCUCUCGAGAUUCGGAGAGCGUUGCCUCUUCGAUUUUUGAACAAGCAAAUAUAUUGAAGGUGUGUUCUUGGAUAUGAGGAAAAAUUAGGCAUUCUUGUGAGUAUGCUUUGCCACAAAAGAUGGAGGUCGACACAUCUAAGGAUUUGCCAAUUAGCCAGUAGUGAUGUUGUUCCUUUACCUCUUAUGGGUAAUAGUUAAGGUAGUUGGGGCUACAAAAUUCCCGCGCCUUAGCUUGGUCAGGGAUCUUUGAGAAAGCUACCCGUGGUACCUGAAAAGUUGAUGUUGCGUGUGGGUAGUGUUGACAAAUUUUAUCCAGGAAGAUUUGGCUCUCGAGAUUCAGAGAGCGAUGUUUCUUCGGUUUUUGAACAAGUAGCCCUGUUGCCUUUUCUUUUACAGGGGUGAAGCAUUUAGGUUGAAAUAAUGCUCCCUUGAUUUCCCCAGUAAGGAAAACUUCUCAGUUGGAAACUUGAAAGAUCCAAGUCACCGUGGUGUAGUAGUAUAUGGUAGGAGUCCCCCAAGUCUUUGGUAGAGGGAGUUGACGAAUAAGGUGUCUUGUUAGUAGUCAAGUUUGCAAAGUAACAAAACUUCACCAUUUUCCUUUGUAAAUGGUAGCCCAAAACUUCUCCUUCAUAUAUAUUUGUUAUGAAAGUUGUUAGGCCCAAAAAAUGGGAGGCUAGGCCUUUUCUUUUUUUUUUGAAUUUUUGAAUUUUUGAAAUUUCGAAUUUUCAAAUUUUCAAAAAUAUUUCUCUUUUUUAUUUUUUAUUUUUUGGGUACCAUAAAUUGAUUUUGCUUUACACUAUCUUGAUCAAGAGUGUGUGAAGCUUUUGACAUUUGUAGUUGCCCUCCAUUUGUUGAAGCUUUGUGGUGAAGUUUUGUAGGUGAAGCUUUAAGGUUGAAGCAUUGUUGGGUGCCAUCACUCUAUCUUGAUCAAGAGUGUGUGAAGCUUUUGGCAUUUGUAGUUGCCCUCCAUUUGUUGAAGCUUUUGUUGGUGAAUCUUUGUAGGUGAAGCUUUUGUGUUGAAGAUUUUGUAGGUGAAGCUUUGAGGUUAAAGCUUUGUUGGGUACUAUGAAUUGAUUUUGCUCACUAUCUUGAUCAAGAGUGUGUGAAGCUUUUGGCAUUUGUAGUUGCCCUUCAUUUGUUGAAGCUUUUGUUGGUAAAGCUUUGUGGUGAAGCUUUUGUGUUGAAACUUUGUAUGUGAAACUUUGAUGUUGAAGCUUUGUUGGUUACCAUGAAUUGAUUUUGCUUCACACUAUCUUGAUCAAGAGUGUGUGAAGUUUUUGGCAUUUGUAGUUGCCCUCCAUUUGUUGAAGUUUUUUUUGGCACCAUAAAUUGAUUUUGCUUCACACUAUCUUGAUCAAGAGUGUGUGAAGUUUUUGAGAAUUAUAGUUGCCCUCAAUUUGUUGAAGUUAUUGAAUUUCUCAAUUUUCCUUUUUUUUUAAUUUUUUUUUAUUUUGGGGAAACUGGAAAUUUGAAAAUAUGAGAGAGACAAUAUAUACAAAUUUUGCUUCCACACUGUUUUGCAAGAGAUUGUGAUGCAAGCCACAUCUUGUAAUAGUCGAAGGUUUGGAUGAACAAUAUAAAUUGAAUUUGCUUCGAACAGUCUUGAUCAAGAGUGUGUGAAGCUUUCUACUAGUUGUAGUAUUUGCAUUAUUACAGAGGAUAAAUGUCUGAAGCAGAUGUAAGAGGGCUGAAGAGCUUAAUCUUCGUAUACCAUGCACUGAAGCCAUUGUUGGCUUGCAAUAAGACUUUGUUGGUGACUAUAACUCUUGUUGGGCAUAAAUGCUCCUCUAGUUGAGUUGUAAAGCUUGAGGGUUUUUUAUUAUUUGUGAAUACUAAGAGUUCACAUGUACAAGUUGUACCGCUCGUCUUUUAGUUGGUGGAAUGAAUGGUGAGUUGCUUUCAUCACUUGGUUGGUGGUACGAAGGUGAGUUCCUUCAUCACCUUUCAUCACAUUUCAUCACUUGGUUGGUGGCACGAAGAUGAGUUCCUUCUUCACCUAGUUGGUGAUAAGAGUGGCAAGUUGUCAAAUAAUAUUAUAGUACGGGUUGUACAUUUCAUCACCUGGUUGGUGGCACGAAGAUGAGUUCCUUCUUCACCUGGUUGGUGAUAAGAGUGGCAAGUUGCCAAAUAAUAUUAAAGUACGGAUUGUACAUUUCAUCACUUGGUUGGUGGCAUGAAGGAGAGUACGAGUUGUACAUUUCAUCACCUGGUUGGUGGCAUGAAGAUGAGUUCCUUCUUCACCUGGUUGGUGAUAAGAGUGGCAAGUUGCCAAAUAAUAUUAGAGUACGGGUUGUACAUUUCAUCACCUGGUUUGUGGCACGAAGGUAAGUUCCUUCUUCACCUGGUUGGUGAUAAGAGUGUCAAGUUACCAAAUAAUGUUAGAGUACUGGGUUGUAUAUUUCAUCACUUAGUUAGUGGCACGAAGGUAAGUUCAUUCUUCACCUGGUUGGUGAUAAGAGUGGCAAGUUGCCAAAUAAUAUUAGAGUACGGGUUGUACAUUUCAUCACCUGGUUGGUGGCAUGAAGGUGAGUUCCUUCAUCACCUAGUUGGUGAGAAUAAGGGCAGGGUACCGAGGCACAUUGUAGCAAGUGUCGAAUGACACAAAGUAUGUUGAACCCUUUCGAAACACAGUUGGCUUAUGUAUGAAUGUGUUGGAAUGUAUGAUGUUUAUGUUGAUUGAUAUAAGUUAUGAUUAUGAAUGUUUUGCUAUGCAUGAAGGAAUCCAUGCUUUCGAUAUGUGAACCAUGUUGGUUGUAACACUUAGUAUCAUUUACUUUGUGUCAAAGUACGCAUGUUUGAACUCUGAGUUGGAAUAUAGAGGUAGGUCAGCGUAGACCAAGUGUUCCAAUGCUAGGAAUGCAAAAGACUCAGAAGAAGUUGUCUGAGUUAUCUUUUCUUUAAAUAUUUGCCGAAUGGCUUGUGUGACAAAAGAUCUCAAGCGGUUAGGGUCAAAAGAUUUGUAAUGUGUAUGUCUUCUUAUAAUAGCAUUUCCUUCAGUACCUAGUCCUCCACUUUGAAAGAGUGAGGCUUGACCCUAUAGUCAUAAUAGUUAAGGGUACGUUCACCCCUGGUUGUCUUGAUACGAACUUUUAUCCCUCUUGUUGUAAUGAGCUUGCUGAGAGUAAAAAUCAUUCCCUUACCAAGAGACGAAUACAUUUGGUGACUUAGCGAGUAGCUAAAUGAGGCAGGAUAGGAUGCAAUGGGUGUCUGAAUGGCCAAGAUCUCCUCACUUGGUAGAAACGAUUAGCAAAAUGAGGCAGGAAAAGAUGCAAUGGGUGUCUGAAUAGCCACGAUCUCCUCACUUGGUAGAACUUGACUUCCACUUCCCACUUGUUGAUAGGGGUUAACCAUAUGAGGGUUCUUUUGGUAUGUCCUUACCUCGACAAAUGCAUGAUUGUAAGCUUGCAUCAUUACCUCAAAGUAAGUCUUUCAAGUGUUAGCAUUCAUCAUGCACUUGAAGAAGCAUUCAUGCAUGCUUACCGUGAAGGCCUUAAGUGUUGUUUUAUCAUCUGCCUCAACACAACGAGAGUACUCAUUGCAUAAACGACCGGCAUAUUCACGCAAUGACUCAUUUGAUUUCUGAUGAAUAGUGUAUAGCUUAUCAGCGGAGUGUACGUGAUCAGCUUGGAAGAUGUGUUGAGCCACGAAAAGUUUCUUUAGCUCAGUGAAGGAAUCCACAGUAUUAGAUCGAAGACGACAAUACCAAUUGAGAGCUCUACUAGAGAGAGUUGAGGGGAAUAUGAGACAUCGUUCCUCAUCAUUGUGUCUUCGGUAUGCCAUGGUAGAUUCAAAGAAGUAUAUAUGCUCAAUCAGAUCUUCCCUCCCAGUAUAAGAUUGCAAGCCAAGCUUCUGUUUCGUUUCUCCUUGUAGAGGGGUGCCAAGAAUUCUCUUUGUCAAAGGGCCGGGCCUUGGUUGAUCCCAGCCAGGGAUUUAGGAAUAACGCUCGGCCUUUAGCCUGUUCACCUCUUCGAGGAGAUGCAGAAUAAGAGGGUCAUAAGUGGAGUCAGGCAUCAUUCAAACUCUCAUUUGCAAGUUUUCCUCAUCCUUUGGAAGUAUGGAAGUUUGGUUAAAGGCAUGUGGCUUUUUCUUAGAUUUACUGUACUGGCUUUCGAGACGUGCCGUUUGGAAGUCCCCCGAGUCUCCUUCACCUUCUUGUCCCUCCAAGGCAUGUGGUUCUUUUCUUGGAUUAGGCAUUGGCCUACAUUGUGGUAGAUGACCGAGCCCUUUAAUGACUAUUGGGUCUUUGACCCUUGAGCCUAUGUGGAUAGAAUUUUCUCGAUGAUGUCUUAAGAAGUCUCGACAGUCACGGUAAACGGCUUUUGAUCUUUCCAUUCCUUUUGCAAGAAUGUUCCUUCCUCCACUUCUCAUACUUCGAGUUGAAACAGCUGGGUUGAGAGAUGUUGAUCGACAUUUCGAUGAGUAGCUCGCUCUUCGUCAGGAAUACCCAUGUCGAAGGCAGGUGACCUUCCGUGUUGGGGGGCACCCAGUUGAUGGUUGACUUCCACGGGGGUGAUGAGGUCGUGUGUUUGAGUAUGCCUAGCCUCAUAGAGCAUCUCGAAGAGCUUCUCAUACUGCUAUUAAAGGACCUUGUUCUUCACUGCUAUCUUGUUGUUCUGAGCCUCCAGCUCAUCAACUUUAGCCUGAAGAACAAACUUCUUUGGUUCAUUCUUUCGUUGCUUUGCACUAGGUGCGAGGGGGUGUCGUUAUGCGUGUUGUGGCUUCUUUCGCUCCCCAUGUUGGAGAGGGAUGCCCGAUCAAAAAAAGAGUGUACGAAUGGUGGAAACCAGCUUGACAAAGCUGAAGAGAGUAGGAAUAAAUGCGUUUCCCACAGACGGUGCCAAAUGUUGAUGCACAAAAUCAGUGAGGACUUUAGUACAACAAAAAGUGUCAAGUUUGUGACCUUCACUAGAUUGCUCCGGUCACUAGUGUGGAUAAAUAUGUAAAUGGAUAGAGACAGGGAAGCAAACAUAAGAUGUACGUGAUUCACCAAGAUUGGCUACGUCCACGGAGUAGAGGAAUUCUCAUUAAUUGUGAAGGGUUUACACAAAUACAUAGGUUCAAGCUCUCCUUUAGUGAGUUCUAGUAAAUAAUCUAGUACAAAUGGCCUGGAGAAUGAUCUCCUUUUAUAGAAGAUAGUUUCUAGCUUUGUUCUGACAUUGACACGUGUCGUGUUGUGAUUGGCCUUUGAUGUUGACAUAUGUCGCGCUGUGAUUAUCUUCUGACAUCGACACGUGUCGCGCUGUGAUUGACCUCCUUGUUAAGGGAAACUCUUCUGGGUCCUUGACAGGUAUAACAUUGAUCGGUGCUCGGUAGUUUCGGGAUUGGUCAAGUAUGGUACAAACAAUAUUUUUCCUUGAACUCGCUGCAUUUCCGAAGUCAAACUCUUCCCACUUUUCAUAGUUUAAAUGAAUUUAAUGUAUAUUAUUCUAUCGUUGUCAAAUAUAUAUCUGCACGUCACAAUGUGUCAUCUUGGUGUCUAUAGUUUAAUUCUUAAACUUUUGGUAUAUUGUAGUAUCAUAUAUAAUGAAAAAAUAUUUUUCAUAUUUACCAAAACUAAUGCAUAAACCUAAACAAAGGUUAAAUGCAUCAGGUUAGGAAAAAAAUAAUAUUAAAAUAUUUUAACUUAAGCUAAAAUAGCUAGUAUUGUUGGAAGUAGUGGCUA